rnacentral:rRNA from 1 species
GAUGAACGCUGGCGGCGUGCCUAAUACAUGCAAGUCGAGCGAACAGACGAGGAGCUUGCUCCUUUGACGUUAGCAGCGGACGGGUGAGUAACACGUGGAUAACCUACCUAUAAGACUGGGAUAACUUCGGGAAACCGGAGCUAAUACCGGAUAACAUGUUGAACCGCAUGGUUCAACAGUGAAAGACGGUCUUGCUGUCACUUAUAGAUGGAUCCGCGCCGCAUUAGCUAGUUGGUAAGGUAACGGCUUACCAAGGCAACGAUGCGUAGCCGACCUGAGAGGGUGAUCGGCCACACUGGAACUGAGACACGGUCCAGACUCCUACGGGAGGCAGCAGUAGGGAAUCUUCCGCAAUGGGCGAAAGCCUGACGGAGCAACGCCGCGUGAGUGAAGAAGGUCUUCGGAUCGUAAAACUCUGUUAUUAGGGAAGAACAAAUGUGUAAGUAACUAUGCACGUCUUGACGGUACCUAAUCAGAAAGCCACGGCUAACUACGUG